rnacentral:rRNA from 1 species
CCUACGGGGGGCAGCAGUGGGGAAUAUUGGACAAUGGGCGAAAGCCUGAUCCAGUCAUGCCGCGUGUGUGAAGAAGGCCUUCGGGUUGUAAAGCACUUUCAGUGGGGAAGAAAGCCUUGGGGCUAAUACCCUCGAGGAAGGACAUCACCCACAGAAGAAGCACCGGCUAACUCCGUGCCAGCAGCCGCGGUAAUACGGAGGGUGCGAGCGUUAAUCGGAAUUACUGGGCGUAAAGCGCGCGUAGGCGGUCUGAUAAGCCGGUUGUGAAAGCCCCGGGCUCAACCUGGGAACGGCAUCCGGAACUGUCAGGCUAGAGUACAGGAGAGGAAGGUAGAAUUCCCGGUGUAGUGGUGAAAUGCGUAGAGAUCGGGAGGAAUACCAGUGGCGAAGGCGGCCUUCUGGACUGACACUGACGCUGAGGUGCGAAAGCGUGGGUAGCAAACAGGAUUAGAUACCCCAGUAGUC